UCCAAUGAUGGUUAAAAUCUUUGAGACCUGAGAUUUGUCUUUCUUUGAUGACAAAUUAACAAGCAUAAUUUUCUGAGGCC
rfam:Beta vulgaris subsp. vulgaris chromosome 3, whole genome shotgun sequence.